AUCUAAGACUCCUCCGAUCGACUCUGGCGCGAUCGUUGCGUUCUCUCACUUCACCCCCAAACCCUAAAUUCCGCAGCCAUGGCCGCCCACCGACUUCGCCUCUGGUGGCGGCGGCGCCGCCUCUCCGCCGCCGCCGCCGCCGCCGGAGCCUUCGUGGUCAUCUCCGCCGCUCUCGUCCUCACCCUCAGCUCGUGGCCUCGGGACGAUGAGGCGCCGCGGAGCUUCUCCUCGGACUCCGCCGAUCUCGUCGAUCUCACCCUCCUAAAGAACGCGAAAGAGAAGGGCGCGUUGUGCUUAGAUGGGAGCCCGGCGGGGUACCAUCUCCAGAGGGGAUUUGGAUCGGGCUCCAAUAGUUGGCUCCUCCAUUUAGAGGGUGGAGGCUGGUGCCGUAGCUUGCAAUCAUGUGCUUUGCGUAAACUGACAGCAUUAGGUUCAUCAAACUACAUGGAACGGCAGAUUGCCUUUCAUGGCAUUUUAAGCAACAUCCAAUCUCAAAAUCCUGAUUUCUAUAACUGGAACAAAGUAAAGAUACGGUAUUGUGAUGGCGCAUCUUUCUCUGGUGAUGUUGAAAAUGAACUGCAGAAUGGGACAACUUUGUUCUUCAGAGGCCAGCGUAUUUGGGAAGCUAUUAUGGAUGAGCUUUUAGGUGAAGGACUUGCAGAAGCUAAACAGGCCUUUCUUACAGGAUGCUCAGCUGGUGGCCUAGCUACUUACAUUCACUGUGACGAUUUUCGUGCACUUCUACCAAAGAAGGUUACUGUUAAAUGUCUUGCAGAUGGUGGCUUUUUCCUUGAUGUGAAUGACAUUAUUGGGAAAAGGAGCAUGCGAUCUUUCUACAAUGAUGUUGUCCAUCUUCAGGAAGUGGGAAAACGAUUUCCAAAUUGCAUUUCAAUGAUGGAGCCAGCCCAGUGUUUUUUUCCUCACAAGAUUAUCAAGAACAUGAAGACUCCAACUUUUAUUCUCAAUCCAGCUUAUGAUGCUUGGCAGAUACAGCACGUCUUGGCUCCAAAUGCAUCUGAGCCUCAAGACUCAUGGUUAAGUUGCAAGCUGGAUAUUAACAAAUGUAAUUCCAGCCAGAUUGAAAUUCUCCAAGGUUUUAGGGCAGAUUUGCUCGAUGCCUUGAGUGAAGUGAAGAAGAAAAAGGAGUGGGGCAUGUUCAUAGAUUCUUGUUUUGUACACUGUCAAACAUUGAAUAAUAUCACAUGGCACUCGCCAUCUUCUCCCAGAGUUAACGAUAAGACAAUUGCGGAGGCAGUCGGAGAUUGGUAUUUCGAACGCAGAGUAGUAAAAGAAAUAGACUGUCCAUUUCCGUGCAAUCCGACAUGUUAUAAUCUGGUGUUCGCUCAGCCCUACAAGUUAUAAGACUUGUCUCUCCAGCUCAGUGAUUAGAUUUAUUCAGUGAAUUUAUUCCUUCAAAGUUUAUUCAGUGAAGUAUGGAUAAAGUAGCUCGGAUUAUCACCUACUGCCUUCUCCGAACUGGCAUUAUUUUUGUAAAUGAUUUGGAACGUACCCAGCAGUUGGUGAGAGCUCUGCAAAGUUUAAAACUGUUUGAAGAGUUCUUUUCGAAGAGAUGGACCAUGGAAAAUGGAGAUGAUAAUGCUUCAUAAGAGACUCGCAGCAUUCGAAGGGUCCUCUUCCACACAUAAAAAGGUGAAGAAGCAUCACUCUCAACUUCUUCUUUCCCUUUAUUGGAUUCUUCUCCCUCUAUUUCACAUCACCGAAUCAGGUAAUAAAGCUCACGCUUGGUCAAAGCAUCAGUGGUUGUUCGAAGAGGGGCUCCGUGAUUCACGUCCACGGAUGUUCCUAGGGGUGGAAACGAGCC